rnacentral:ncRNA from 2 species
AUAUCCUUAUGCGGUGAUGGCCCCGCGCAAGCGGGUGAAAAGGGAAUGCCGUGCGCCCCGGCUGGAUGCCGUUCCGGGGGCAAGUCGGCGGCUGCCCCCGCAACUGUAAGCGGUGAGCCGUCGGUCCAUCUGCCGCGCUGCCGGUCCCGGCGCGCGGCAGGCCACUGAACCGUCCGCGGUUCGGGAAGGUGGGGCCGGCGGCCGCGACCCGCGAGCCAGGAGACCUGCCAUCGGCACCGAACCAAC